GAAUUCUGUUGUGAAAAAUGUUAUUACUGUUGUUUUAUUUGAGAGCCCAAAGUGGGUUCCAAUUGUACAAGCCCAAUGUCCACCCCUGGAGUUUAGGAUUCUGAAAAAUGCUAGGAAAUAAAACCAAUGGAAGUCGAUUCUGGAUAAUAUGAAUAUAGCAAAUGUUGGGUUGCGCAUGCUUGGUUUGAAACAGAAAAGCGUUUGUAGAAGGAAAAUUUCCAAAAAAUAAAAACUACUCCAAUUCCUCUGUAAGCCUAGUGAGCCACAACGAAGCCAUAGAACAAAAUUCAGCGAGAUUGGGUGGUGAUAUUGCAGUGAUCAGAUGCACUUUAAUUUAGAAGUCAUGGAAAAGCAUAAUAGCAUCGUCAAGCUUCAUCUGUGAGGACUCCAUCAAAAUUCUCAUUUUUUUAAGUUUCUCGUAUUUAUCUUUCAUCGGCCCCUCGCGUCUAUCAAUGGGCAGAUUUACAAUCUCCUUUUGCUGUUCUAGCUCAUAAGCUACUCGAAGACUCAAAUUUAAGGCAGCAUGGAACAGCUCAUCCAGUACAUGUUCCCAAAGAACAAGCUUAUUUACCUUCCACAAUAAGAAAGUUGCUGUUCCCACAACUAAUUUCUCCAUAAGCAAGUAGUCAUCCUGCCACAGCUUAUAAAGAAUCUUAGUUGUUUCCUUCUUUUCAACAAAUAUAGUAUCUGAAAUCUUAUCAGUCUCAAGUAGGCGACUGGCCUUGGACAGUAACCUAAAAAUUCUAUACGCAUCCCUCCCAUAUCUUUUCAGCACAAUUGAUUCCACCUCUUCGCUCUGAGCUGCUUCAAUAAUAUGCUUGAAAUCUAUACUAUAUGAUUCAUCAGCCACUGUUACAAAAGGUGGGGGAGAACUCAACUGAACAAGGGCAGCCCUGACAUGAUCAAAGGUCAUGUUACGGCCUUUUUCACUCUUAAUUACUUCUUCAUAAAUGGAAUUCACCGAUAAUGGAACUGAACUUGCUGUUUUCACUUUCUUCUCUUCAGUUUUAGAUGCCUCUAGCAUUGCACUUAAGACAAUGGCGGCUCCAUCGUCCAGUCGUGCUCUCACAUUCUCAAUGCAAUCCUUAUGCCUAAGCCGGCGAAUAAAUUCCUCAAAAUUAGCACGGCAAAGAACUACUUGAUCUUCUGCAGCAUUGCAAUCUACUUGAGGCUCCGAAACAUCAAGCUUGCGCUAUAAAAUUGAGAAUGAGAGAUUAGUACAAUUGAACCUCAUAAUUAAAAUUAAAAAAAAAAAAUCAUGUACAACCUUGUCUCCGACAUGUUUGUCAGGGGAUUUAUCCUGUUUUUUUUCUCCAUCAUCAUUUAGUUCAGUAGAAAAUCUUUUUGCUUCCACAGGCACUGCUGCUGCUAGAAAAAGUUGUAGUAGUAGGAAGAAAACUAUUUAAAAAAUGAGAAUUACCUCUAUAAUAUGUAGAUGGCAUAAAUCCAUUGAUAACAGGCAAGUCAAGGAAUAUAUUUAAAUCAAGGAAUCUAAUCAUCCAUUUAUGGAAGAUAAAUAUUCCUUUAGACCCAAAUGAUAGUUCAAUGAUAAAUCAAUAGUUGCUCAUGCAUAAGUCAACUGUUACUAUUGUUCUAUAUGACAAGAACAUGCUAAUAAAUUUUAUGCAAAUAAGCAAUAACCUUAGCAGCAUCUCGCUUCCUUGCAGGAGCAUCUUCUUCAGUUGGUGAUGCAAGAGCGGGUUCAGGAGUGAGGCAGUGUUCAACAUAAUGGGCCAUCACAAGUUUGCGAAGGUUUUCUUGUACAGCAUCCAAACCUAUACUAUUUCCUUCCUUAUGACUUGAGUUGGCUCUCUCAACAAUUUGCUUCUGUGUAAGCCUACCAUGUUGAAGCAAACCCUCAACAAUGCCUACACACUGCAGAAACCACAAUAUAAAUUAUCAAACAAUGCCAUGUACCGAGUAAUUUGUUUUGGCACACUCUGGGAACUACCUUCAAAUACAAUCAUUAAAAAGACCACCGUGAAGCUCCUUAACUGAAUUUGAUUAUUCCAAUCAGGAAAAAUUCAAAAAUCACGCACUGGGUUUACUAUAAUUCCUCUAAAUUAACAUUCUUGCACUUCCACGCAUGUCAACAUAUUAAUUAAACAACUCGAAUUCAAAUACCAAAAUUUUUAGUAGUCACAAUCCACGCAACAGAAAAGCCCAGCAAUCAAACAGAGGAGGAACAUAAAUUGCCAGAGGCCAAUAUCACUGGCUUUAGACUUUUUUUUUUUUGGCAAUUUCUGGGCACCCCAGCAAAGAAGAAACGCAAAUAGAUUACCAGUUUCAUCGAGGCGCAAAGCUUGAACGCAAUUGUGCUGGAUUAAGGUCAGUAAACAGUUCUUCACACGCAUCUGAGAGAGCUCAGUGUAUCGGACAAUAUUAUGGAGAGUUAGGGAUCCUUUGCGGCGUAUUUGAUGCCGUGCCGAGUCUUCACCAUCAUUGUUCUUUGC
rnacentral:misc_RNA from 1 species